rnacentral:rRNA from 1 species
GGUGCGAAAGCAGGUCAUAGUGAUCCGGUGGUUCUGAAUGGAAGGGCCAUCGCUCAACGGAUAAAAGGUACUCCGGGGAUAACAGGCUGAUACCGCCCAAGAGUUCAUAUCGACGGCGGUGUUUGGCACCUCGAUGUCGGCUCAUCACAUCCUGGGGCUGAAGUAGGUCCCAAGGGUAUGGCUGUUCGCCAUUUAAAGUGGUACGCGAGCUGGGUUUAGAACGUCGUGAGACAGUUCGGUCCCUAUCUGCCGUGGGCGCUGGAGAAUUGAGGGGGGCUGCUCCUAGUACGAGAGGACCGGAGUGGACGCAUCACUGGUGUUCGGGUUGUCAUGCCAAUGGCACUGCCCGGUAGCUAAAUGCGGAAGAGAUAAGUGCUGAAAGCAUCUAAGCACGAAACUUGCCCCGAGAUGAGUUCUCCCUGAGACUUUAAGUCUCCUGAAGGAACGUUAAAGACGAUGACGUUGAUAGGCCGGGUGUGUAAGCGCAGCGAUGCGUUGAGCUAACCGGUACUAAUGAACCGUGAGGCUUAACCUUACAACGCCGAAG